CGUGAGACAGUUCGGUCCCUAUCCGCUGUGGGCGCAGGAAAUUUGAAAGGAGCUGUCCUUAGUACGAGAGGACCGGGAUGGACGUACCGCUGGUGUAUCAGUUGUUCCGCCAGGAGCACGGCUGAGUAGCUAAGUACGGAAGGGAUAAGCGCUGAAGGCAUCUAAGCGCGAAGCCCACCUUAAGAUAAGAUUUCCCAUCCGAAAGGAGUAAGACCCCAGAAAGACCAUCUGGUUGAUAGGCCUAAGGUGUAAGGGCAGUAAUGUCUUUAGCUGAUAGGUACUAAUAGGUCGAGGGCUUGACCAA
rfam:Clostridium halophilum strain M1 genome assembly, contig: G325DRAFT_scaffold00027.27